rnacentral:rRNA from 1 species
UACAGAGGUCUCAAGCGUUGUUCGGAUUCAUUGGGCGUAAAGGGCUCGUAGGCGGUCUGUCACGUCGGGAGUGAAAACUCGGGGCUCAACCCCGAGCCUGCUUCCGAUACGGGCAGACUAGAGGUAUGCAGGGGAGAAUGGAAUUCCUGGUGUAGCGGUGAAAUGCGCAGAUAUCAGGAGGAACACCGGUGGCGAAGGCGGUUCUCUGGGCAUUACCUGACGCUGAGGAGCGAAAGUGUGGGGAGCGAACAGG